UGGGACCGUUCGGUCGUGUUUUUCUAAACUCGCUUCAUCCUUCGGUCUAACCGCGUUGUGUGCUUGUUAGGAGUGUUUCAGGCACUCAGGUUUUUUGGCCUGCCCGCUGGACUCACCGCUGCUGCUAUCAACUCCUCGUGCUGUUUUGCCCAGUUAUUCUUACUUUGUUUUGUGCUGAUCUCCUUUCUUAUCAGUGAGCAUAUCUCGUCGUUCUGAGUGUUUGCGUGCACUGCCAGCCCGUCGCCGUCAGCUUUCGCCGUUUGUAUUCCUUUAUCAGGAAGCUUUUGUCCUUCUGUUCUUUUCAUUUUUUUUUUCUCGGUCGCGGUUUGUUUUUGCAGAGGAGAUCUGUUUUGUGUUUUGAAUUAAGUGCGCCGAGAGGAGCAGGCAGCUAUUGUAAUCUCCCGUAUCCAGCAGCUAUAUCAGGCAGAGUCAUUCCGUGAUUGGAAAUUCAACCGAACCGUAGAGAAGAGAUCGUUUCGUGCAAAUCUGAAAUCUAGUGAAUCGACCCGAGAAAGCGAAGAAAUUACUGAAUCCGAGUGGUUUUAUGAAUAAUGUGAUGCAAUAAAUCCUACCAACGUGAUACGUAUACCCAUUUGUGGCAAGUGCAAUGAAAAAGAAAUAAUCCAUCUCGAAGUUGCUGUGUUUCCGAGUGCAUACCGCUGAUGGUGUACAUCUAGUUUUGUAAUGUUAGCAACUAUGCUUUGAACGUGAGAGAAAAAAUCAAUCAACGCCCCCUACUUCCAAGGAACGAAUCCGUUCCGUGACCAUUACCGUUCUGCUUCGCAAUCAGCCAAGAAGAGAAGCCUUUAUCGUCGCAAACAGUCAGCAGAUUGAAACAAAAUCAUUCGCAAUGUCAUCGAACGGCGGAUUGUCCUUGUCCUUGACAACCGCCCACCGACCUUUGCUCCAGCGUCGCCGAAAUGGCAAAAGACUUUUCACUAAGCCUUCGUCCUUCGGGUCCCGAACCAUUUUCCCCAAACCCUACCCCGGUCCCGUCUCGAUCCCGGUGCUUUUGUCUUUGCUAUUUCUAAUCAGUGAACCCUUCUGCCAUGCUUUGCAACUGAAUCAAACGCUAAUUACGCGGAAACAUCAGCAGCAUCAACAUCAGCACCAGUCCUACACGAUAGACGAGCUGCUGGCGGCCAAGUUUCCGACCAGAAUCUCCAACGAUAUCGAUAUGGAUCCCUGCAAGUCAAGUGGCUUCUUGGGAGAUAUCGCACUGCCAAACAUAGACUACGAAACCGAGUGGCAAAAACAAAGACUGAAUAAAACCUUCCAACAAGAGCUGGAAAAACUCAAACAAGAAGUCUACCACGAGGGGCUGCAAGUGGAGGAGGAAGGUCUUACCGACAUAAUUCGAAAGAAAACGAAACAACUGUCGCCUGAUUUGAACGUAGCCACCAAACAGCCAAGAAAAAGUCUCAACGAAGCAUCGGUUUACGCUUCGAGCUCGCAACCGGUUGACCAUAAAUCACUUAAUCAAAUCUCGUAUAACGACAAUACAAUAAUUGACAGCCAAAGCUAUGGAGAAUCGCACAUAAAGGCGACAAUCAUAGAUAACAAUGAUAACAUCAUCCUUCGGAACACUUCCACCGCCACUCAUCAAGUGGAUCCUCAAGGCGGCAAGUCGGAAGCCACUUCAUCGACGUCGAAUGGUUCUGACAGCGACAGCAGUGCGACCAUCAUCAAGAAAAAGAAAAACGCCAAAACAGCGGAUGCCCGCCACAUUGACCAUAACCGCAUCCAGUCCGACACAAAGGACAUCGUUAUCGACGAUUCGAGUGAUAACAUAAUCAGCAAUAAUCAUGCGAGCAGGAAGACUGCCGCGUCGAGAGCACUUUUGACAUCAACCCCAACCACAACGUCGAAACCCGCCCGCACUACCCAGGCCAAUCGUUUCAGCAAUGCUGGUGGCAACGGCCGAACCUUGGAAGACGUGCAAGUUCUGAAUGGCGAUGGGAGCAUUACGGCCCACAAGCGACACCACAGAAGACGUCGGCAGGGAAAUGGGCGCAAAAACGGCAACACCAGCGCCACUAUUGACACAACUGAUAUCGACAACAGAUCGAAGAAAAAACCACUCGAUGCAAAUUUCGAUUCGUACAAGGCCCGCCUGGAACGACUAAAGACCGAUUUGGGCAAUCCGACCCUCUCCGUGAAUGAUUCCAAUUUGAAGCGGUCCAAAAACAAACCCAAGUCCCAUUCCGGCGGCAAAAAAGUCCCCAAAGACAAGCAAACCGCAAGCAGAAACAAACCGGUAGCGGAGAAAUAUUGGGACGGUAAGGUCGGCGGCGGAAAGGGGGACUCACGUGGCCCGACAAAGGUCCGGAAAAUCGACAAAGCAAACGAAGGAAAACCACCCAAACGGCAUUCGGCAACCCGCAUUCUGGACGAUAUUAUUAUCGAGGAGAAACGGCACGGCGCUGGGAGGCAGAGCAACGAAGGCGAAUUGAUAAGGGACACCAAGGGAAAUGUAGUUCGGUCGUCAUUCCUGGAGGCUCACAUGGUUGCCGAAGAAGGUGGCGAACUGCAUUCCUCUCAACAACAACCUGUUGAUGCAGCAAGAAACCAUCCGGCCUCGGCAUCCCAUCACCGUGUGACUCGUGCUGCCACCGCCAAAAAGGAACGCAUCUGGGAUUUUGGCGUCAUUCCGUACGAAAUCGAUGGCAACUUCAGCGGACUGCACAAGGCGCUGUUCAAGCAGGCAAUGCGUCACUGGGAAAACUAUACGUGCAUUAAAUUUGUCGAACGCAAUCCGAUCGACCAUCCCAACUACAUCGUGUUUACCGAGCGCCAGUGCGGCUGUUGCUCGUUCGUGGGAAAGCGCGGCAACGGACCGCAGGCCAUCUCGAUUGGGAAAAACUGCGACAAGUUUGGCAUCGUCGUUCACGAGCUGGGUCACGUCGUUGGCUUCUGGCAUGAGCACACCCGGCCGGAUCGCGAAAACCACGUCGUCAUCGAGAAGAACAACAUAAUGGUCGGCCAGGAGUACAAUUUCAACAAGUUGACCGAAGACGAGGUGAAUUCGUUGGGACUGCCGUACGACUACGAUUCGAUCAUGCACUACGCGCGAAAUACGUUCUCGAAGGGAACCUAUCUUGACACGAUAUUUCCGAUUGAAAUUCCCAGCCGAAAGCGGCCCGAAAUCGGUCAAAGGCUGCGACUGAGCGAGGGAGACAUUGCCCAGGCGAAUCUGCUCUACAAAUGUGCCAAGUGCGGCCGCACGUUCCAGGAAAAUUCAGCCUCGUUUACCUCACCCAGCUACUACUCGAUAGUGCCACCCAGCGAGCCGGAAAGAUGCGAGUGGCGUAUAACGGCCACGCACGGCGAGCGAAUCGUGCUCAACAUCACCGAUCUGGACAUCUUUAAGUCGAACAACUGCCGGUCGGACUAUUUAGAAAUUCGUGACGGUUACUGGCACAAAUCACCGAUUCUCGGUAAAUUCUGCGGCUCAGGAAAAGUGAACGAUUUAAUAAAAUCAACCGGCAGCCGGAUGUUGCUGACCUACACCACCACAUUCCGACAGAUCAAUAUGCGAGGUUUUGCCGCCAGCUACGAGGCGGUUUGCGGUGGCAAUGUCAAUUUGGAGAGCGGUGGCCGGCUCGAGUCGCCCAACUAUCCGAUGGACUACCUUCCGAACAAGGAGUGCAUUUGGAAAAUCACCGUCCCGAAGGACUACCAAGUGGCGCUCAAGUUCCAAUCGUUUGAGGUGGAAAAUCACGAUAACUGUGUGUACGACUACGUGGAGGUGCGGGACGGCGAGUCGGCCGAUUCCCGCAUCAUUGGAGUGUUUUGCGGCUACAAAAUUCCACCGGAUAUGAGAUCAUCCACAAACAAAAUGUUUGUAAAGUUCGUGUCCGAUGGGUCAGUGCAGAAGGCCGGGUUUUCAGCCACCUUCAUGAAGGAAGUGGACGAAUGCGAACGAAUGGAUCACGGAUGCGAGCACGAGUGCAUCAACACGUUGGGCGGAUAUGAGUGCGCUUGCUACAUCGGAUAUGAACUGCACAGCGAUAAGAAGUCAUGCGAAAAUGCAUGCGGUGGAACAUUGAAGCAGCACAACGGAACAAUCCUUUCACCCUCAUUCCCGAACGAGUACCCCAUACUAAAGGAAUGCGUGUGGGAAAUCAUUGCCCCGCCACAGCAUAAAAUUACUCUCAACUUCACGCACUUUGAACUGGAAGGCAACACCUUCUACCUGGCUUCGGAAUGCGAAUACGAUUCCGUAGCCGUCUAUUCAAAACUCAACGAAGACUCUCUGAGACGGCACGGCGUGUUCUGCGGCAACAAAAUACCGCCAACCAUUACCUCCGAAGGGAACACCCUGCGGGUAGAGUUCAAGUCGGACAAAACCAUUCAGAAGUCCGGCUUUGCAGCGAUUUUCUCCACCGACGUAGACGAAUGCGCCGUCAAUAAUGGGGGCUGCCAGCACGAGUGCAAGAAUACGCUCGGCUCGUACGUAUGCUCGUGCCACAACGGUUACACCUUGCAGGACAACGGUCACGACUGCAAGGAAGGCGGCUGCAAGUACGAGGUCUCCUCACCAAACGGACAAAUCUUCAGCCCAAAUUAUCCGGACUACUAUCCACCGAAGAAGGACUGCGUGUGGCACUUUACGACAACGCCAGGUCAUCGGAUUCGAUUGGUGUUCAACGUAUUCGACAUCGAACCUCACCAGGAAUGUGCCUACGACCAUAUCGUCAUCUAUGACGGCGAUUCGCCAGAAAGUUACGCAUUGGGGCGAUUCUGCGGAGCAAAGUUGCCUCAUCCACUGUCAUCCACGUCCAACGAAAUGUACAUGGCCUUCAACACGGACUCGAGUGUCCAGCGAAAGGGAUUCUUCGCGAGCCACUCUACGGCCUGUGGUGGUCAUCUGAGGGCAACCAACAAGGUGAAACAUAUCUAUUCGCACGCCAAGUUCGGCAUGGGCAUGUACGACAAUGGCGCAGACUGCGAGUGGUCGAUCGAAGCGGACAGCAACAAAAACGUCCAGCUGAAGUUCCUGAUGUUUGACGUCGAAGAAGAGCGCCACUGUUCGUACGAUUACGUCGAAGUGUACGGAGGUCUGGAUGACUCCAGUGGGCCAUUGCAUGGAAAGUAUUGCGGCAACAGUAACCCUCCAGAGAUCAUAUCAAUGGACCAAGCCUUGCUGGUACGGUUCCGCUCAGAUGACACGGUCGGUUUCAAGGGCUUCUCCGCAUCCUACGUCGCGAUCAGCCCUUUUGGGAAGGGCCAAUCGGAGGACGACGAGAUCGUGGACAGCGCCGAGAUAACGCCGUUUCCGGGCUCGCUCAAAAACUCCGUCAUCAAGGCGGACGAGGACGUGGACGAGGACGAGGACGUCGAUUACGAAAUCAUCGCCCAGCAUCGGCACCUGAAUCCGAAGGUGCGCUACGCAGUGCGCAACGACAUACGAUCGUCGCAGGCGAUCGACUGAAAUAGGCGUAGACGCGUCGGUAUCCGACGCAAGAUACACGUGCGUACGCAGCGGCCGUCCUAGUCAGUAGCGGUGGCAGUUCUGUACGCACGAAAUUGAAGUAACUGUGAUGUCUGACGACCGUGACGGGUUUGGAUGUUUUGAAAUGCUGAUAACAUUGGAAAACUGUUUCAAAUGUCUUCGUCGUGGUUAGUAAAUGUGAGUGCACUCAAAGCCUAGUUAGAUCAGUUUUGUUGCUUCGCUUGAAGUUUUUUUUAGUUAAUUCGUGUCUGUAAAGAUGAAUUCUUUACACUUCAACGUCCCAGCGUCUCGGGGUUGACACAAUAUAACAAGAUACGGUUUUCACUGAGUGGUUCCCUAGACCCAUACGUUUGUAUCGGUUUGUAGGUCAUGCGAGAAUGCCUUGAAGAAUAGAGCUACGGAUCAACCAGCGUAACAAUGGACUUUCCAUGUGUGACGUCUAGCGAAUCAGCCCCAUUCUGGACAAUAGAAACACGCUGGAUCAACCUGUGUGGCCUCGUGCCAUCGGAAAAGGACCAGCCAAAUACGCACUUUGGCACUUUCUUUACGCACACAUAAAUAAAUCCAACAUUUAAGUUAAAAAUACUUUCAGAUAAGAAAAUUGCAUAAAAAUAACUCUCAAAACUGUGAUAGAUUCUUUUUAAUCACUCUUUAUCCAUUAUCAUAAUCCACUAAAUUGAUUUUCAACAAGGUGUUGACUGUGCUCGCAUCCAUCAUCACUAGUUUCAGAAACUAGGUACAAUGAAGCACAAACAUAUUUUCCUUUUGCGAGCACUACUCGCGCUCAACAUAGUUUUGUGUUUUUUUUACGCACUGAGUACCACGCUCAAAAUGUUUUAGCGAUUUGGACACGCACUGAGCACUUUUGCGAGCACCAAUCGCGCUCAACAUGUUUUAGCAAUUUUUCACACGCACUUAGCACUUUUGUGAGCACCACUUGUGGCUCAAAAUGUUUUAGCGAUUUGCAUACGCACUGAGCUCUUUUGCGAGCACCACUCCCGCUCAAAAUGUUUUAGCGAUUUGGAUACGCACUGACCACUAAUGCGAGCAUUACUCGCGCCUAAAUUAUUCUAGCGAUUUUUCACAUGCACUGAGGUUUUUAGUGAGCACCACUCGCGCUCAACAUGUUUUAGCGAUUUUUCAAGCGCACUGAGAACUUUUGCGAACAGCACCCAUGCUUUUUUGUAGUUUCUUUGGGAUUUUGAUGAUCAAAUUUCGCAUCCAGUAUCGCACUAUACAUGGUGUUCAAUAAGUUCGAAUACACUUUCAAAAAAUGUUUAAAAAUUGAGAUUAAAUUAUUUCUUUUCCCGGCUCCAUUUCAUUUACAGUAUUGUUUAUAAGGACCGUUUGUAACAUUUCUUUUGGAAUGACCUCUAUUUUGUACUUCUUCACGAGCUUCAAACGUUACUAAAACUUAUCGCAAGCGGCACGCACGGUCUGCAUUGGCAUUUCGUUCCAGAUUUUAAGAAUUACGUCUUGAACUGGUCCAAGUUACUGACCUUGUAUUCGUACAGCCUCAACAUAAUAAUGGACCAAACAAGCAAGUUAAGAGGGCAAAUCCGGGAAGCUGGGAGGUCGCAAAGUUUUGUUCAAAAAGUCGAUGAAGUUGUCCCCAUAUAAGGCUUAAAUCGCAUUUUACUUAUAUUUUUAAUAAAGGGUUAUCGUCCUAUUGGAACACGUAGGGCUGAUCUCCGUCUUAUCACCGGGCCACUGGGGGUAUCAAUCGUCCCCAAAACCUCAGUUUUGUAGUACACCGCAAUGAUUUUGACCUUCAAAAACGGCUAUUUACGAUGCCCCAAUCCAUUUUCAACGCGCGUAAUAAACAAACAACAAGUGACAGAAUGUCAACACCACACACAUUCGUUAGUGUAUAUAUACCGCUAACGCUGACACCAAUACUAAUACAGAAUAUGUACAUUGGGCUUACAAACACAAUUAUCAAACAUUUGUAUUCGAACUUAUUGGACACCGUGUAUGUAAUUCUACGUUCAAAUUACAGUCGUAUGUUUGAUAUAACCCUCUACUUUUUUAUUUAUUAACUUUGAUCGGUUCAUCCUUUUCCGAUACGGAGUUUAUUAAUUUAAAAAACAGCCCCGUGCCAUCGGAAAAGGAUCAACCGAAUACGUUGGACAAUUGUCGGGGACAAAAAAGUACUUCAGGGUCGUCCGUAGCUAAUCAGGGGAAAAACUGGUUGCUUAGCAAACGUGUUAUAGGUCAAGGCCUACUGACGCUCAAUUCAAAUUAUGCCGCGUUGGCACGGUUGCGCAUGGCGAGUGACGUGAGACGUAAGAUUGAUAAGAUAGAUAUCGGCAAUGGAUAUUAUGCAUAUUAUACACUGCCAAACGAGAAUUCAAAUAACUAUAAAAUCUUGCUUAACUUUUAAAAACACCUAAGUAACAUUUUUUUCAUGAAUUAAUUUGAGUAGUGCAUUCAAAAGCUUUCAUAUUGGUCUGUUGAUUGCAAUAUUAAAAUUAAUUCGUGAAAAAAAUGUUAAUCAGGUCUUUUUGAAAAGUUAAUCGAGAAAUCAUGGCACACACAACCAACGUUACGAAGACCGUCACAAAUGUAAUUUCAAGUGGAAUAUCCCCUUGCUCUUUAGCGAGCAAGCGAUCCAGUUGACCCGGCCCACCCUAACAGCCAUUUUCAAUGAUGAACAUGCUAAGAAUGGAGACCUGGUCAAAACGUGUUUUGCAUCCGCACAUCCGAGUGGCGAGCUGCGAAGAGAUCUGCCGACGGAAUCCAGGAGUAAGGAGCGGGGGCCAUUCGCUGGAGGUGCUGGAAUCUUGAAGCAACGCAGCUGCUGUUGCCAGUCGCUUGUGCACGGUGUAACGCUUGUAACGGUGGGAGGAUUGGAAUCGCUCGUCGGGGAGCCACCAUGGCCGGAUAGCUCACCUCGUUGAGUGCAAGAACUUGGUUCUUCUUUGGUAGGGUCCUGGUGGAAGCCUUCUUCCGGAUUUCCAGGAACUCCGCUCGCUUUGGGCAGCCUUUUGUGGUGGUCCGAUGGUUGUUGCCAUAGUUGGCGCACUUGGGAUCGGUCAUCUCAGUUCCUGCUGCUGUGCCCGAAUUUGAAGCAGUAGGUGUAUUGCGUGACGUUGCUGUGCACUGCCCGAAAUCGCUCCCAAUCAACGACGGUGUAACUUAUAAAGCCGACUAGCGCCGGUGGAGCCGUGCUCCAGCUAGAUCAGGUUAAGGUCACUCCUCACGGAAUCCAAACUUCAAAGCUCUCGCGUUGUCAAGGUCACACCACUCGAUACGGAAACAACGCACAACUGUCAUUUUUAUUAUUUCACGCAUGCUGCGAUGCAGCAAAAUCAAAACAACAAAAAUGACAGUUGUGCGCCGCCUCCGUUUCGAGUGGUGUACCCCCGAAAACGCGAGCACUUUGAAACUUGGAUUCCGUAAGGAGUGUCCUUAAGCUGGUCGCGAUAUCUCCUCGCUUUGUCGUGACGAGCGAUUUUGUGCACGGCCACUGGCUUUAGUUCUCGCGAUCUGCUUGGAGCUCUUCCUCCUUCAGGCCUCACAGCAAAGCCUUGAGUGUCUUCGUACAGUAGACGUUCGAUAACUGCAAGUCAUUUAACUGCAAUGCUUUUUAACUGCAAUUCGAUAGUUGCAACAGUUUUGCAGUUAUCGGACCGCUAAAACUUCAAACUGAUGUCAGACUCAAUGACAGCUGCAUUGCGCUGCACAUUUAGAUGCACUUUUAUUGCAUCUGACGUCGAUUGACAACCGUUUGACGUCUAGAAUGCGUUGCAGUUAUCGAACGGCAUUCGUUAACUGAAAAGUAAACAUUUUGCAGUUAUCGAAUGACUACUGUACCGGAAUGGUCAUGGGUGUAGUACUCAUAAUUGUAGACCUCAGGGAACUCCACGACGGAUUGAUGGUGGUCCUUAUUUGCCGGCAUCACUUUCACGCCCUCAGUGCAGAGCCGAAAUGUAUUUUUCAGCCCCUUAGCAAUCAGCUUGCAAAUUCUCGGGCGAAAAUCCACAAACACAGGCGGGCUCUUCUCCUUCCGCUCAGAUUGCACCUGCGGCAGCUGCAAUUGUUGCUUCCUUCUCUUCGUUGGGUUGUCUGUGUCGUCAAUUGGCAAGGACGAAUAUAUGUUGCUCUGCAAAAGCAGGGGUGGCAUUGCGCAUCUCGAUUCGAACGUAAUUCUAUCGAGUCGAACAUGUUUGGCAUUACGGUUUUCGAUUUGAUCUCGAAAACGACUCUUCGUUCGAGUAUGCUUGAGGAGGUACAAGAAUAACGAGAUGUUUUGGCAUUAUGGAUACUCGAUAGCACACUGAAAAACGACUCAAGUCGAAUGAAAAGCACUCGUCACCUUCAUAGCUUUCGAAUGUUGUUCGAGACGAGAGUCAGAAAGUUUUUCAUCAUAUUUGUUAUGCAAUCUCUAAUUAUUCCGAAAUCCGCGUAAAAACGACUUCAACUUAAAUCGGUUUUAUGCAGUUUUCACGUAUUUCUUGACGAUUUCGAUAAACCGCGUAAAACAUCUAUAAGAAAAAUCUGCGUAAAAACGUGUAUAUUCCAAGAUCUACGUAAAAAUAGUUGAGUUAAAUAAAAAACGCGCAGGAGAUGACCCAAGUGCAUUUAACUAAAACACAUGGAAACAUCAAAGUAAUUUAUUAUCGAAUCCUUCUUUAGCUUUAAAUUAUUUAGCUCAAAGUUGGAUCUAUGCCAUAAACUCGAAUAAACAUAAAACUUGUAAUUUGUGUCGUAACUACAGUGAUCGUUCGCUAAUUGGGGCACGACCCAGACAACCACACAUCGCAUAAGAAUAAAGUGACCAGAUAUAUUUUGUGCCAGCGCGGGACAAUUUUUUUUAAAUCCUUGUUUUUAUCCAAAAACGUGCCUAAGUCAAAACUUUAAAAUUUGAUAAAGCCCUCUGGGACUCGCUUGGUCCUGGAUCAAUCACGCAAUCCCACCUCUGUUGUGAAUGAAUCUGGUCAACUUUUUACAACGGUGAAAAUUCCUGAAGGUUAAACUUAUUUGUAUUGAUAAGAAAAUUAUUUUGAGCUUUUUAAUGGAAUGUCUUCACUUAUGACAAGUGUUAUUUGUAUUGGUUACAUGAUCCAUUUUGCUAACAUUCAAAGUGAUCGUAUUAUUCGAUUUAUACAAUUAGGUAGGGCGCUCAAAUUUACUUAAAAUUCCUACAUCUUACACCUCGGGAAUUUGGUGCGCGGAUUUUUCCUCCAUGUAUUUUUGCAUAUGCGAUGUUUUCGAGAUUUGAGCACGGAAAAUCAAAAUCCCGGCCCCAUUUACAAUGCACGAGGACCAAAAUCCGGUGAAAAAUUUUCCCGAGGU